rnacentral:pre_miRNA from 1 species
AUCACUGGGUUCUUGUUAAAAUGCAGAUUCUGAUCCAAGAAGCCUGGGAGAAUCCUGAGAUCCUGCAUUUCUAACAAGCUCCCAAGUGAUGUAGA